rnacentral:rRNA from 1 species
GAUGAACGCUAGCGGCAGGCUUAAUACAUGCAAGUCGAGGGACAGCACAGGUAGCAAUACUGGGUGGUAACCGGCAAACGGGUGCGGAACACGUACACAACCUUCCUUUAAGUGGGGGAUAGCCCAGAGAAAUUUGGAUUAAUACCCCGUAAUAUAGUUGAAUGGCAUCAUUUGAUUAUUAUAGCUACGGCGCUUAAUGAUGGGUGUGCGGCUGAUUAGAUAGUUGGCGGGGUAACGGCCAACCAAGUCUACGAUCAGUAGCUGAUGUGAGAGCAUGAUCAGCCACACGGGCACGGAGACACGGGCCCAACUCCUACGGGAGGCAGCAGUAAGGAAUAUUGGUCAAUGGACGCAAGUCUGAACCAGCCAUGCCGCGUGAAGGAUUAAGGUCCUCUGGAUUGUAAACUUCUUUUAUUUGGGACGAAAAAGGGCCUUUCUAGGUCAACUGACGGUACCAGAUGAAUAAGCACCGGCUAACUCCGUGCCAGCCGCCGCCGUAACAC